UACGAAGGGUGCAAGCGUUAUUCGGAAUCAUUGGGCGUAAAGCGCGCGCAGGCGGAUUGAUAAGUCAGGUGUGAAAUCUCGAGGCUCAACCUCGAAACUGCGCCUGAAACUAUUAGUCUAGAAUGUCGGAGGGGGCAGGGGAAUUUCACGUGUAGGGGUAAAAUCCGUAGAGAUGUGAAGGAACACCGGGGGCGAAGGCGCCUGCCUGGACGACUAUUGACGCUGAGGCGCGAAAGCGUGGGGAGCAAACAGG
rnacentral:rRNA from 1 species